GACGAACGCUGGCGGCGUGCCUAAUACAUGCAAGUAGAACGCUGAAGGAGGAGCUUGCUCUUCUGGAUGAGUUGCGAACGGGUGAGUAACGCGUAGGUAGCCUGCCUGGUAGCGGGGGAUAACUAUUGGAAACGAUAGCUAAUACCGCAUAAUAGUAGAUGUUGCAUGAUAUUUACUUAAAAGGUGCAAUUGCACCACUACCAGAUGGACCUGCGUUGUAUUAGCUAGUUGGUGGGGUAACGGCUCACCAAGGCGACGAUACAUAGCCGACCUGAGAGGGUGAUCGGCCACACUGGGACUGAGACACGGCCCAGACUCCUACGGGAGGCAGCAGUAGGGAAUCUUCGGCAAUGGACGAAAGUCUGACCGAGCAACGCCGCGUGAGUGAAGAAGGUUUUCGGAUCGUAAAGCUCUGUUGUAAGAGAAGAACGAGUGUGAGAGUGGAAAGUUCACACUGUGACGGUAUCUUACCAGAAAGGGACGGCUAACUACGUG
rnacentral:rRNA from 1 species